UUGUUGGCUUUUAGGUCCCUAGUGGCGGGACGGAGGGGGGGAGUCCGCAAGAAACUUCAGCAGCCCAGUCUUGUUCAUCUUUACUUGCAAGUAAACCCUGUUCAACCAGUAGAGCUUACUCUUGGGUAAGCAGGCAGUUACUAACUUUUGUCUUCUCUCUUCCCCACCGCUCCUCUGGAGAUGCAACAUUUCCAGAAAAUGGGAAUAAAACCCAUUUCCCCUUCUCCUGACAUACGUAGUUUUUUCGUGCACACAAAACAGAAAAAUUGAGAAAUUGUGUGUGUGUGUGUGUUAUAUAUUUAUAUAUAAAUAUAACCCAGCCAGAUGGGCGGGGUAUUUUAUAUAUAUAUAAAAGGCCUGGGGAAAGAGGGAUGUUUUUGCCUGGCACCUAAAAAUAUGUAACACAGGUGCCAGGUGAGUCUCCCUGGGGAGAGCAUUCCACAAACAUAUAUGCAAUACUUAUCAACCCCAAACGUAUGUUACUGCUUUAGCAAAAUAAAGUGUAUUGUUUCAAAGCUAGGGUAGAAUAAAAUUAUCCCCUUAAAUUUUAGACUAUAAAUGUACCAAGUAAGAUUACAAUAUUACCCACACAGUCAACUUCCUUCUGUGGGUCUUGGUUAAAGCUCACACCCCUAUUUGCAGUUUCUGCCCCACUGCCUUUUGACCUUUUUUAUCCCCAGCGAAACAAAGCAAGAAGCUGCUUGUUUGUUUCCCAUUCUGCAGCAGUGUGUCUGUGUCCUUCAAGGGGCAAGGUGAAAAGGUUGACCACAAAGGAGGGAACAGGUCAGAAGGGCAGCAGAAACAGGAUGAUUGCUACUAGUAUCUACAGACUAAACCAAAGGUGACUAGGAGACGGCAGGCAGCAAUUCACAAACGACAGAGGCCCUGCAUGUUCCUCUAACGAAGAUUACUGCACCCAUAAUACAAAAAUUCGUUUUGAAUUGAAGUGUUGUAUUUGCCAGUGCACUAAUGCUGUACAUCUUAAAAUAAAACUUACUUAACAGAGGUUUUUUCCAGUGUCCUUCAAAAGAUGGAAACAUUUGCAAAAAGUCCUCUGGAAAAAAACACCUUUUUAAAAAUUCCCUGGGUGAGGUGUAAUAGGACCUUCACACCUCUCCCCUCAGCCCAUUUCUUCUGGCAGGAGGGAAAGAGUUGACCUCUUAAAUAUUAGGCUGUACGUAAUACAACUUUUUAAAGUGCAUUAGCCCUGGAGAGGCAUAGCAGUCCAAAUUAUGGAAAGAGGUUCAGUUUGUGUUGUUGUAACAGUGCCUGGAAACAAGUAUGCAAAUAGCAGCUGUUUCAGAAGGGGAAAACAACUUUUUGAAGCUUCAUUAUUGGUAUGUUAGGAAUAACAGCUGUGAGCUUCUCUUUAAAGCCACAUACACACAGGAUGGGUCUUGUUUACACAUUCUGGGAGAGUGUAUUUACUAAAUGACCAUUUAUAAUGCAUGUGUGCGAUGUUCUUCACACCUGAGCACCUCUGCAUGAUGGAAGAGAAAGAGUUGCUAUGCCAUAUUUCAAACAAAUGUGUGAAGCGUUCCUAAUUCUGCCAUUCAAGGAGAUGUGAUUAAGAUCUAAUCAUAGACACCCUGCAGCUCAAAAGCUUGUGUAGUGGUUUCAAGAGCCUACAUUAGUGUUGUGUAUGCAGCAUCUCAUCAAAUUAUGGAAGCUGUGCAGAGACUUGUUCAGCUGUGCUGCAGGCCUGCAGUCUUGUGCAGCCAAACAACUUUAGUCUGUUUUGCUCAACCAAUCCUACUUCGGAUUCUUUCUUGGAUUACUGCAUCAAUUAAGAACUCUGGAACAGAGACAGGAUUCCUUGCUUCUGUCAUGUCUGCACCUCAGUGAGGUUCCACCAACAGAACUCUCCUUCCCUCAAAAGUUGGUAAUGGUGAUACUGAAUCUGACAUAACCCCCUAAGGUUUAACAUGUCUUUGCUGUCCUUGCUAUGGCUUUGCAUCCGUGGCCGCCUUGGAUUUCAUAUCCCGCUUUAUCACUACCCGAAGGAGUCUCAAAGCAGCCAACAAUCUCCUUUCCCUUCCUCCCCCACAACAAACACUCUAUGAGGAUUAUAGUAUUGGCUCCAGGGCUUUUAAUAGCUUAGAAGCUAUAGUAUUUACUGCUGCACUACUUUGGCAGGAAAUGCUCCACCUGCUGAAAUUUUCUCUUCUAUACAUUUAUUAAUAAGAACCUGAGGACAGCACCCUCUGCCAUUAGCUAAGGACAAGGGCACUGGGAGGCCACUCCCUCUGCCUUCUAGCGACAUCAUCACAGCAAGAUGGAGACCAACCUAGCCCUAUCAGUGGGCCAAAGGAGGACUUGUCAUAAAGAACACUCCCAACUGCUGGUUGCCCUGCAGAAGCAAGAAGAAGGGCCUCUCUGGUCCCAUCCAUCAGCCAAAGGAGCAAGAGGCAUCAGUUGCCAGUCACAGGGUUUUUUUAAAAGCUGAUUUUCCAACUGCACAAAUUCCCCAUCAGUCACUCCCUUCACUAUAUUUUCCUACCUUUCUCUGGAGGCCUAGAAUCAUAAAACUGUAGAGUUGGAAAGGACCCCGAGGGUUGAAUCUCAACUAAAGCAAUGGCAGAUGGCCGUCCAACCUCUGCUUUAAAACCUGCAGUGAAGGACAGUCUGCCUCAUAAUUCAACAACUGUGAAAUCAGGAUAGUCUCUUGGAUUUCUUGUUCUUAAAAAUGUUGAUAUUGAAGAAAACAUUGAAUGUUUGUCUAUUUUGCCUCAGGUUCUUUAAGAUAUUUGGGGACAUAGGAAGCUGCCUUAUGCAGAGGCAGCUCAUUGGUCCAUCUACCUCUGGAUUGUCUACAGUGACUGGAAGCAACUUCCCAGCAUAUCAGGCAGGAGUCAUUCCCCAGCCCUACCUAGAGAAUCCUGGGAUUGAACUUGGGAUCUUCUGCAUGCAAAGCAGAUCCUCUAACAAUAAGCUGCAGCCCCUUUUGAUUUCUCGAUUUUAAGAAAAUUUUAAAAAGUGCAUUUUUGUGUGUCAACAAACUUAAUAACAAAUUAAACAGCAUAAAAAGUUAAGAAAAUGUUGGUCUACA